ensembl:lncRNA SOX9-AS1 SOX9 antisense RNA 1
AGAAAGACUUUUUCCUUUUUGAGCACCUCUUUGGACCAUUUACAUUCAUUGACAGCUCAGAAGAAUCCAACAGUUCCUGGAGUUUGGCAACAUUUCAUGGUGGAGAGAAAAGCAUCCCAAGGAUCUGUACAUAAAUAGCUGGUGCACAUCGGUCUCAGGUGUAAACAGAAGGAAGUCCAAGGAAGCCAAGUGGGAAGAUCCUUGCUGGUUUCUCCCUCUGAGGAAGAAGGAAAAUGCCAUGACUCCCACUAUGGCCUCUCUUGGAACCAUAUUUUGAGGUACCCUACUUCCUUCUUGAGUGUCAGCAGAGCAACUGUGGGACUGGCAUGAGAUUUGGUCAUUUCUAGGAGAGCGAAUGCCUUUUGCCUCUUUGAUGAGAAAACUAGACGAGACAUUGUUUAGAAAUUCUUGAGCUCAGACUUUGGCAUUAUGACAACGUGCAUUCAAAUCUGCCCCAGCCACUUGCGAGCUGGGACCUAAAGCCGUGAGCUUCUGGUUGUUUAUCUAUAACAAGCGGAUCCCAGUACCUACCUCAUAGGGCUGCUGCGAGGAUUAAAAUAAAAUGCAUCUAUCAGCC